GCCGGGGUGGCGGAACUGGCAGACGCGCAUGGUUGAGGGCCAUGUGGGGUAACUCCCAUCCGGGUUCAAGUCCCGGCUCCGGCACCA
rnacentral:tRNA from 1 species